GGGGAUGUACUGGUUUCGACGGGGAUAGGUGGUGUACGAUAAGCGAGCCGUGGUCUGGCACACGUUAACUGUUGGGACGUUUAAAUAUAAACGCUGAUAAAGAAUACGCUUUAGCAGCUUAACUGCUAACUGUCUUCUGAGCUCCUCCUACAGGCGAGGAAAGACAGUCAAUAUGUGGGAUACCUUAGGGCUGAUUCCUGUAAGCCUUUAGGGAAACCUUUACAGGAUAGCAACCUGAGCGCCCGUCGAUAGGCAUUCGGGAAGCGAAAUAAAAUAUGUCGUCUGCGCUCGGAGAAAGUUGUAUGGCAAUAUUUUCGGACAGGGGUUCGACUCCCCUCAUCUCCACCA
rnacentral:tmRNA from 1 species